rnacentral:rRNA from 1 species
UACGGAGGGUGCAAGCGUUAUCCGGAUUCACUGGGUUUAAAGGGUUCGUAGGCGGGCAGGUAAGUCCGUGGUGAAAUCUCUGAGCUUAACUCAGAAACUGCCAUGGAUACUAUUUGUCUUGAAUGUUGUGGAGGUAAGCGGAAUAUGUCAUGUAGCGGUGAAAUGCUUAGAUAUGACAUAGAACACCAAUUGCGAAGGCAGCUUACUACGCAAAUAUUGACGCUGAGGCACGAAAGCGUGGGGAUCAAACAGG